rnacentral:rRNA from 1 species
AUUGAACGCUGGCGGCAGGCUUAACACAUGCAAGUCGAGCGGGGACUUCGGUCCUAGCGGCGAACGGGUGAGGAAUGCUUGGGAAUCUGCCUUGUAGUGGGGGAUAACGUUUCGAAAGGAACGCUAAUACCGCAUACGUCCUACGGGAGAAAGGGGGGGAUCUUCGGACCUCUCGCUAUAAGAUGAGCCCAAGUCGGAUUAGCUAGUUGGUGGGGUAAAGGCCCACCAGGGCGACGAUCCGUAGCUGGUCUGAGAGGAUGAUCAGCCACACUGGAACUGAGACACGGUCCAGACUCCUACGGGAGGCAGCAGUGGGGAAUAUUGGACAAUGGGCGAAAGCCUGAUUCAGCCAUGCCGCGUGUGUGAAGAAGGCCUUCGGGUUGUAAAGCACUUUAAGCGAGGAGGAAUGGCUCUGGGUUAAUACCCUUGAGCAGUGACGUUACUCGCAGAAUAAGCACCGGCUAACUCUGUGCCAGCCGCCGCCGUAA